rnacentral:rRNA from 1 species
AUUGAACGCUGGCGGCAUGCCUUACACAUGCAAGUCGAACGGCAGCACGGGAGUAAUCCUGGUGGCGAGUGGCGAACGGGUGAGUAAUACAUCGGAACGUGCCCAGUAGUGGGGGAUAGCCCGGCGAAAGCCGGAUUAAUACCGCAUACGACCUACGGGUGAAAGCGGGGGAUCGCAAGACCUCGCGCUAUCGGAGCGGCCGAUGUCAGAUUAGGUUGUUGGUGGGGUAAAGGCCUACCAAGCCGACGAUCUGUAGCUGGUCUGAGAGGACGACCAGCCACACUGGGACUGAGACACGGCCCAGACUCCUACGGGAGGCAGCAGUGGGGAAUUUUGGACAAUGGGGGCAACCCUGAUCCAGCCAUGCCGCGUGCGGGAA